rnacentral:snoRNA from 1 species
UUUCAUGUGGAAAUGCCUGCUUCUUCUUCUUUUAGGGGCACAAAUACAUCCAUAACAUUCUAUAUUACAAAUUUAAAAGAAGUAGUUCAGUGCUACCAACCUUACAUACAGGUUAAGUAGUGUAUUUCUCUUACACAC